AUGUCCAUUUCCUCUUCCUUCGUGUUUAAACGCUGGUGGAGGUCCUCGUACGCCCGACCCCUUGCUUCACUUUCAACUCGCUUUGCAGUCUUCUUCGCCGCCUUGUACUUCUCUAUGUUGUCUACACUCCUAUUUAGGUGUAGGUGUCUGAAACAGUCUUUCUUCUUAAUAGCCUUCUGGACAUCAUCGCUCCACCACCAGGUAUCUUUAGCUUCGCUUGUACUACCCUUGGUCAACCCAAACUCCUAUGUAGCUACUUUUCGAAUGCAAGUCGCCAUCUUCAUCCGCAUAUUGUUUGCAUCACCUCCUUCCUCCCUCUCCUUCAAAGCCUGA
rnacentral:rRNA from 1 species